rnacentral:tRNA from 1 species
AGUUUAUGAACUUGUUAAAGUGUAUAUUUUGAAAAUAUAAAAAAGAAAAUAAUUUUCUAUAAACUU